GUAACAGAAGCUCAGAGUUGAAGCGCCGGUCUUGUAAACCGGAAGUCGGAGGUUAAACCCCUCCCUGUUACU
rnacentral:tRNA from 1 species